rnacentral:rRNA from 1 species
GUAGGUGACGUGCCCUGCGGUCGGGGAUAGCUUAGGGAAACUUAAGGUAAUACCCGAUAAUCCCAUGAGGUUUGAAGACCAUAUGGGCAAAGGUGUGAUUCCACCACAGGAGCGGCUUGCGUGGUAUUAGCUAGUUGGUGAGGUAACGGCUCACCAAGGCUGCGAUGCCUAGGGGAUGUUAGCGCAUGAUCCCCACCACUGGGACUGAGAUACUGCCCAGACACCUACGGGUGGCUGCAGUCGAGAAUCUUCGGCAAUGGGGGCAACCCUGACCGAGCGACGCCGCGUGUGGGAUGAAGGCCCUUGGGUUGUAAACCACUGUCAGAGGGGAUGAAAUGCCAGAGAGUUAUCUCUCUGGUUUGACAUAGCCUCAGAGGAAGCACGGGCUAAGUUCGUGCCANCAGCCGCGGUAAGACGAACUGUGCAAACGUUAUUCGGAAUCACUGGGCUUGAAGAGUGCGUAGGCGGUUUUGUAAGUAGGGUGUGAAAGCCCCCGGCUCAACCGGGGAAUUGCGCCCUAAACUGCAAGGCUG